rnacentral:tRNA from 1 species
GUGGGUGUAGCUCAGUCGGUAGAGCACUGGAUUGUGGUUCCAGCUGUCGCGGGUUCAAGUCCCGUCAUCCACCCCA